AAGACCCCUUGAAGACGACGAGGUAGAUAGGGCAGAGGUGGAAGUGUGGUAACACAUGGAGCUGACUGUUACUAAUAGGUCGAGGGCAUAACCAG
rnacentral:rRNA from 1 species